GGAGGCGUAUGUCUACACAGAUUGACAGGCUACCUCAGAAUCAUGUUGGCAUCAAAGGUCUAAAGUGGCAUUAGUAUAGGUUUAAGCAUUCAAAAGUUACAGCUGUUAGAGUAAAUUUGGGUGUGCCACGGUAAGAUUAAUUUGCAUAUGGCGGCCAUAUUGUUUAAAAAUUUCUCAAUUUUUUCGAUAAUUAUUGAGGUUGGGUCUCUGCUGAGUUGUUUGACACCAAAUAUGACAGGAUUGGUCAAUGACCCUAGGACAAGUUCUCAAAAGUAGGUUUUGCAUAUUAUGCUAAAUAGCAAAAAAUCUAAGUGGGCGGAGCUUAGUGGUUCUAUUGACCUUUUUGAUUUGCCAUUAACCAAGGAAUCAUAUAAUGCAAGAAUUUUUGCUCUAGCUAUCAGGGCGUGGCAGUUACGAGGCCUAACGCGUUGACCUUCGCCAUAGCGCCCCCUUGAGGCCGAUUUGGCUCAUCUUUUGAAUCUGAGUAGCGGUGAGAAGUACUACCAUAUGACCAAGUCUCAGCCCUGUAGGCCUUACGGUUUCUUCUGCCCGAUCACUUCUAUGGCAGAAAAAGAAUAAGAAUAAUAAAUAUAGCCGCAAGCGGCGAUUUACGGGGUUCGAGCGUCACAGGCAAAGAGGCCCCUGGAGGCCAGUUAGGCUUAAAACCUGUUGCUGGUUGACCGUCAUCACCAAACUGGAUAACCAAGCUGGGUAACCAGCGUGACCAUAAAGACCAAAAUGACAAUGCUAGAUGAGUGGUGUGAGUAAACUAGUUGAAAAGCAUUGAUAAAUUGAGCUGUAGUGUUCAUCAGGUUUUAUGUGGUGUCUUGCUGCACUCUAGUGGGCAUUUGGUGAAACAACUUCAGUUCUUAAAUUCAAAAAACACAAGGCAUAAAAAGGGCAUAUAAAUAACCCAUAUAUAGUGUAUAAGUUUUGACCUGAUAAACAUUCUGCCUG